GUGCUUGCUUCAGCAGCACAUAUACUAAAAUUGGAAUGAUACACAGAUGAUUAGCAUGGCACCUGCAUGAAGAUGACAUGCAAAUUCAUGAAACAUUCCACAUUUUU
ensembl:snRNA U6 U6 spliceosomal RNA